GAUGAACGCUAGCGGCAGGCCUAACACAUGCAAGUCGAGGGAGAAGCCCUUUCGGGGGCAGAAACUGGCGCACGGGUGCGUAACGCGUAUGCAACCUACCUUUCACAGGGGGAUAGCCCGAAGAAAUUUGGAUUAAUACCCCAUAAUAUUAUUGGAUGGCAUCAUUUGAUAAUUAAAACUGCGGUGGUGAAAGAUGGGCAUGCGUCCUAUUAGCUAGUUGGAGUGGUAACGGCACCCCAAGGCUACGAUAGGUAGGGGUCCUGAGAGGGAGAUCCCCCACACUGGUACUGAGACAGGGACCAGACUCCUACGGGAGGCAGCAGUGAGGAAUAUUGGUCAAUGGUCGGAAGACUGAACCAGCCAUGCCGCGUGCAGGAAGAAUGCCUUAUGGGUUGUAAACUGCUUUUAUAUGGGAAGAAUAAGGUGUACGUGUACAUUGAUGACGGUACCAUAUGAAUAAGCAUCGGCUAACUCCGUG
rnacentral:rRNA from 1 species